rnacentral:rRNA from 1 species
UACGGAGGAUGCAAGCGUUAUCCGGAAUGAUUGGGCGUAAAGCGUCCGCAGGUGGCUGUGUAAGUCUGCUGUCAAAGAGCGAAGCUCAACUUCGUAAAGGCAGUGGAAACUACAUAGCUAGAGUAAGGUAGGGGUAGAGGGAAUUCCUGGUGUAGCGGUGAAAUGCGUAGAGAUCAGGAAGAACACCGGUGGCGAAAGCGCUCUGCUGGACCGGAACUGACGCUGAGGCGCGAGAGCGUGGGGAGCAAACAGG